rnacentral:lncRNA from 1 species
CAAGAGUGGGGGCAAGGUGGGAGCUCUUCAGGCAUCGGGGGCGAAGGUGAGCAGUGAUCGGCUUAUGUGUUGGACUUAUGGAUUAUGGAAUUCUCGUAUGUGUUGGUUGAACUUGAACUUGUGAUGGAUGGAUGGACGGACUUGUGUGACAUGUAUGGAUUAUGUGAUGGAUUUAUGUUGUUUUGUGAUGGAUGGAUAUGAAUGUGAUAAAUAUUGUGAUUUGUGUGAUGAAAUAUGGAUAUGAAUGUGAUAUAUAUUGUGUUGUGUGUUAUGGAAUAUGGAUAUGUGAUAUAUAUAUAUAUAUAGUUUUGUGUGAUGAAAAUGAAAAAACAAAAUAAAAGAAAAAAAUUUCCAGCUUUGCCGAGUGCCACACUCGACAAAGGUGCCAUGGCACACAACAAAGUUUGGCAAAAUUACACCC